rnacentral:snRNA from 1 species
ACUCGCUUCGGCGAUACAUAUACUAAAAUUGGAACGAUACAGAGAAUAUCAGCAUGCCCCUGCGCAAGGAUAACACGCAAAAUCGUGAAGCGUUCCACAUUUUU